GGCAGCAUGGCCGAGUGGUCUAAGGCGCUACGUUUAGGACAAGUGAGCUCAGCUCCGCAUCCUCCGUAGUCUUCACGGGCGCGAGUUCGAAUCUCGCUGCUGUCA